CAAACACACGCGCACACGGGCGCACGCCACGCACACCGACACGCGCACACGUAUACACGGCCAACACGUACUCGCGCGUGUGCGAACACGGCUUUUUUUCCGGUCCUUCUUUUCAUCCGUAACGCACACGGCGGCGCACGUAUACGCGCGGGGUCCGUCCGGCACGAAUGUCAUGUGUACGUCGCCGCUCCGUCGGUACGGCGGAUUGUGCAGUUUUUCGUCCGGCGAGUAACAGUGUCCGACCGUAAAGCCGAUACGUAUCGUAUUUAAUCAUUUUUUCCCGGUCGUCCGGACCGAUCGCGGUCCGACAACGUCCCGCGGUGAUCGCCGUCACGACGCCCGCCAGUAACACCGUCACCACCGGGCGGCGGCUGCGAGGAUUACCGCGACCAUCACGAAGACGGCGUAUAUGCUGCGAGCCCGGCCGUGGUCCAAGACCGGUGGUUCGUGCGGACGACAGUUCCGACGACGACGACUGCAAUUUCGACGACGACGGCGACUCGGCUCCAUCAGCACCGGCGGCCACCUGCACCACGACGCCGAUGACGUC